rnacentral:rRNA from 1 species
ACUCCUACGGGAGGCAGCAGUAGGGAAUCUUUCACAAUGGGCGAAAGCCUGAUGGAGCAACGCCGCGUGGGUGAAGAAGGUCUUCGGAUCGUAAAACCCUGUUGUUAGAGAAGAAAGUGCGUGAGAGUAACUGUUCACGUUUCGACGGUAUCUAACCAGAAAGCCGCGGCUAACUACGUGCCAGCAGCCGCGGUAAUACGUAGGUGGCAAGCGUUAUCCGGAUUUAUUGGGCGUAAAGGGAACGCAGGCGGUCUUUUAAGUCUGAUGUGAAAGCCUUCGGCUUAACCGGAGUAGUGCAUUGGAAACUGGGAGACUUGAGUGCAGAAGAGGAGAGUGGAACUCCAUGUGUAGCGGUGAAAUGCGUAGAUAUAUGGAAGAACACCAGUGGCGAAAGCGGCUCUCUGGUCUGUAACUGACGCUGAGGUUCGAAAGCGUGGGUAGCAAACAGGAUUAGAUA